rnacentral:lncRNA from 1 species
CCACACAGAGCAUGCAUGCUCAGAUUGCAAAACCAACAAGGAGGAGAUGGAAUUCAGGAUAUAAAUGGUGGGUGUGGCUUGGAGUAGAGGAAGAAUAGGAGGAAGGAAGGCAAAGAUGGAUGAGGAUCUCCAGAACUUUUGGGAUGAAGAAAAAGGAAGCUGAGUUAGCUGAUAUGGUAUAUUCUGCUGAGAUCACCUGCCAAGGGUGAGGGGCUUGGGCUGAAGAAGCCUUUAGCUAAUCAAAACCUCCUGAAGUUUAAAGAGAUUGGAAUCCAGUUGGCAUGCUAUUAUCGCUUCAUCUCCGACUGAGGCAGCCAUUCAUGGUAACUCUCAGUCUUGAGGAUUCAACUUUGGCAGACAAGGGUCUCACAUUAACAACUGCAUUUUGCUAAAGUCAUGGUACAUGGGAACAAGGAGUUGUUGGCAGUAUGGCCCACUUGCGCGGCAGGGACCCUGACAUCAGAAGCUCUCAUGGCCCGAGGCUGUGUUGAAGAGGAAAUAAAUGAGCCUGCCCUACUUCCAGAGGCUCUAGUAAUCUGUGUGCGGCAGAGAACCCGGGCUGGGCAAGAUGUGUGUGGACGAGCGACCUCUAGUGGCUGAAAAUGGGAGCUGCAUCGCCUGCUUUGAAAGGCAGAGGAAGGCAGAGGGGGACCCUGAGUCAAACUCCAGGGUCUGUUGAGAAGAUCCUGUUUGUCCAACACCGUCCUGGGUGUUAGGGAGGAUUCAAAGGAAUUACAAGCAGGCAAUCUUAAGGAGCUUAUCCUCCGGCCUGGGGAAAUCAAAAGAGCAUGUGGUUUCUCUAUUGACUUGAUGCCACAGGAGUUUCGAGAAAGGAGAGGACCACAUGGAUCAGCGUAAUCCAGGAAGCUGAACCCAGAAGGACAAUUGGACUUUAGAUGAAAAGAGGGAGGGCAUUUCGAGGUGGGAGAAUAGCACGAACCAAGCAGGCAGGAAGAAAAAACCUUGAUGACACACAGCAGAGAUUUCUAAUGAAAAAAAUCUGAUGGUCUGUGUUGCGUUGGGAUGACUGAAAACUAAGCCAUGUGGCCAGAAACCCAAGAAUAGACCAUCCAGCCCUCAUGAGCUCUUUGCACAGAAUCCUUCUCAGGUCUCCACUGGAAACCGCCUCACACCCAGCCUUGGCGGCUCUUUCAGUCAGAAUGGAGCAAAGGGAUUGCUCUUUCUGCCCCAGUGCAUGGCAGGGGAUGGGCUUAUGAGGACAUGACCAGUGGUUGCAAACUCAAACGCUGCCCCGGCCAAAUAGUUAACGUAAAUGCAUGAAACAGACUGGGUGGAGGAUUCUGGCAUUUCAGAGAUGUCAACUUUGGUUUUAAAUUUUGCAGUGACAUU